AGGGAGGGAGGGCAGAGGAGAAAAGAGGGAGGCAGGAGAGGCAGCACCCUGGGGAAUGGCUCUGUCAAGGCCACAGGAAGCAGAGGCAGACAUGAGAAAGCCAGUUCCCCAGCACAGGCUGAGCAAGGCCAACCGGGCUGAAGCUGGAGGUGAGGCUGGGGACCCUGCCCCCCACUGCACAACCUAGGAGCUAUGAUCCCCAUCAGGGACCUGGAAUGCUAGCACCUUGCCAUCACAGGGUCCCUGGAGAAGUGCUCUGUGCUUCAAGGUGAUUCCAGAAGCCAGGCACGUGGUGCAUCCCUGUAAUCCCAGCACUCAUGAGGCUGAGACACGAGGAUCAUCUGAGCCCAGCUUGGACUACAUAGUUCGUGGUCAACCUGAACUAAAUUGAGACCCUGUCUUUAAAAAAAAAAGUGAUUCCAGGUCGCACCUGAGACUCUUGGUAGCUGUUGGCACUGGGAGUUGACCCCCCCCCCGACUCAUCAAGAAUUCAUGCUCACCCACUGGGGCACCGGUCUGCCAAGAACGCCACCUGUGGCAUCAUCCCUACUGCCACCUACCCCAUCCUGCCAUGACUUGUAACUAAGCAGCCCCUGGCAGAUCCUCUUGCCAACCUCUAACACUUCCUGUUUCUCACACCUGCUCAAUGACAGAGGCGGACCAGGCUGUCUGCUGGCCAGACAGUGGCGAAGCACAGGCCCAGAUAGGGACACAGCUGAGGAAGAAUCGGUCCAGUUAAUCCUAGGAAAAUGACUUGAGACCAGCUCUCCAGGAAGGAGGCCUAUAGGCACCACCUGCAAGCUGUUCAUCUAUCCUCUGAGUUGGAGGAGGAAAGGAAGACCUUGCCAAGCCCUCCAAACCUGCUUAUAUUCUCUGUCUGGGGGAGUCUGUGCUUUGUCACAGAAUGGACUCCUGGCUUCUCCAUCCUGCCUAACCAAAGAGUAGCUGGGGGCUUCUCUUAGUGAGAACACCCCUCAUUCUGCUUCCCUCACCCCCAAGAACCCUAGGAAAUGAAGCCUGGGCAUUCCGUCCCUGACUGGUGACAGGAGGAUCUGGCGCAGAGACGUCUCAAGGGAGGGGAUGUCUGAGCUGUGCUCAGAGGACAAUAGGGAGUUUUUCAGGAAGGUGAGCUUCAGAAGGGCAUUCCAGCCUGGGAGCCACCCUGCUGUGGCCCAGAAACAAAAUCAGCUGGCUCUGUCCCUGGAGCUGUGGUUGACCUGACAGGAAAAUGAGGGUGGGAGCCUGAGGAUAAGGCAGGCCAGAGCCAGGCCUUGUUGGGCUUCUCAUUGCAAGGGUGAUUCACAGGACAAAGUGUCUUCUGUUUUCUCAUCUAGGUCAUUGGGGAGAGUGACAGAGAAGGUUCUGGACUCCAGCUGGAAGAGGGAGGGCAGGAGGAAUGAAAGGGUUUUGAGAACCACAGGCUACUCCUCCUCCCUGUUUUUCAAGGUGCUCAUAGACAGGAUGCUGCUGCCACCCAAAGUGAGCUCAGACAGGUCACUGAACCCCAAGCCCUAGGCCUGGGAAUCCAAAUGUCUGGAAACCAUUGGUCUAGUCCAAUCCCCUUACUUGCACAUGGAGAAGCAGAGGCCCUGAGAGGGGAAUCCAAUUUCCUCUGUGUUACCAUCCCAAACCAGAGAUGACUGUCAGAAGUGAAAAUUAUCAUCAUCAUCAUCAUCAUCAUCAUCAUCAUCAUCAUCAUCAUCAUCAUCCUUUUCUUCAUGUCUGGAAUAAAAAUACUAUGUUAUUAAUAAUGCUAACAACAAGGCCAGGGAUUUAGCUCAGUGGUUUCGCCGCCUGCUACGCAAGCACAAGGACCCAAGUUCGAUCCCCAGUACCAAAAAAAAUAAAUAAUGCUAACAACA
rnacentral:lncRNA from 1 species